rnacentral:rRNA from 1 species
CAUACUCCCGAGAAAAUCCGCUAAGCUUAACCCAUGCGGCACCCGUACCGCAAACGGACACACGUGGUCGGGUAGAACAUACUAAGGCGUUGAGAGAUUCAUGGUUAAGGAACUAGGCAAAUUGACCCUGUAACUUCGGGAUAAAGGGUCCUCGUGAUGAGCGAGGCGCAGAGAAUAGGUCCAGGCAACUGUUUAACAAAAACACAGGGCUGUGCAAAUUCGAAAGAUGAAGUAUACAGCCUGACACCUGCCCGGUGCUGGAAGGUUAAGAGGAGAUGUCACCGCAAGGGAAGCAUCGAAUUGAAGCCCCAGUAAACGGCGGCCGUAACAAUAACGGUCCUAAGGUAGCGAAAUUCCUUGUCGGGUAAGUUCCGACCCGCACGAAUGGUGUAACGAUCUGGACGCUGUCUCAACUGCCCACCCGGCGAAAUUGUAGUACCGGUGAAGAUGCCGGUUACCCGCGGCAAGACGGAAAGACCCCAUGGAGCUUCACUGCAACUUGAUAUUGGGUUUCGGUAUUCUAUUUACAGGAUAGGCGGGAGACAUGGAAGCAAGCACGCCAGUGUUUGUGGAGUCAACCUUGGGAUACCGCUACUAGAGUAUUGGAAUUCUAACCUGCGGCCUUGAAUCAGGUCGGGGGACAUUGUCAGGUGGGCAGUUUGACUGGGGCGGUCGCCUCCAAAAGAGUAACGGAGGCGUUCAAAGGUUCACUCAGCAUGGACGGAAACCAUGCCUUAGAGUGCAAACGCAUAAGUGAGCCUAACUGCGAGACUGACGGGUCGAGCAGUAACGAAAGUUGGAGUUAGUGAUCCGGUGGUAUGUGAGUGGAAAUGCCAUCGCUCAACGGAUAAAAGCUACCCUGGGGAUAACAGGCUGAUCUCCCCCAAGAGUCCACAUCGACGGGGAGGUUUGGCACCUCGAUGUCGGCUCAUCGCAUCCUGGGGCUGUAUUCGGUCCCAAGGGUUUGGCUGUUCGCCAAUUAAAGCGGUACGCGAGCUGGGUUCAGAACGUCGUGAGACAGUUCGGUCCCUAUCUGUCGUGGGCGCAGGAUAUUUGAUGGGAGCUGUUCCUAGUACGAGAGGACCGGAGCGGACGUACCUCUGGCGCACCAGUUGUUCUGCCAAGAGCAUAGCUGGGCAACUAUGUACGGAUCGGAUAAACGCUGAAAGCAUCUAAGCGUGAAGCCGACCCAAAGAUAAGAU